GGGCCCGCACAAGCGGCGGAGCAUGCGGAUUAAUUCGAUGCAACGCGAAGAACCUUACCAAGGCUUGACAUGAACCGGAAAUACCUGGAAACAGGUGCCCCGCUUGCGGUCGGUUUACAGGUGGUGCAUGGUUGUCGUCAGCUCGUGUCGUGAGAUGUUGGGUUAAGUCCCGCAACGAGCGCAACCCUCGUUCUAUGUUGCCAGCGCGUGAUGGCGGGGACUCAUAGGAGACUGCCGGGGUCAACUCGGAGGAAGGUGGGGACGACGUCAAAUCAUCAUGCCCCUUAUGUCUUGGGCUUCACGCAUGCUACAAUGGCCGGUACAAAGGGUUGCGAUACUGUGAGGUGGAGCUAAUCCCAAAAAGCCGGUCUCAGUUCGGAUUGGGGUCUGCAACUCGACCCCAUGAAGUCGGAGUCGCUAGUAAUCGCAGAUCAGCAACGCUGCGGUGAAUACGUUCCCGGGCCUUGUACACACCGCCCGUCAAGUCACGAAAGUUGGUAACACCCGAAGCCGGUGGCCUAACCCCUUGUGGGAGGGAGCUGUCGAAGGUGGGACUGGCGAUUGGGACU
rnacentral:rRNA from 1 species